GAGAUAAAUCCAUGAGGGGAACGGUGUUAGCAGACGAGCACACAUGACUACUUUUAAAGUUUGUAAGGAUUCUUCACGAGCGCAGUGUCACGUUCAGUAGAGCCGGGAGUUGAUUUUCACAGUCUAUGAGGAGGAUGACCACAUUAAUCACUACUUUGAAUUUUGAAUCUUGGCACUUUCGCGCAAGGCGGCUUUCCGUGCCUUUGAGGGAGAUAAGGCAAUCUUUCACCAUCUCUAAUAGAAUUAAAAAUAGAGAAGAUGAAGCGGAUCGAAAGUGAGGUGUUGAAAGGUUUAACUUUACAUUCGUGAUGAAUCUUUUAACACCUAUGAGACAUAGUUUGGAGAAGUUUUGUUUUUCAAGAUACUCAAAAAUAGCUGAAGACAACAUAAUAAGAUCAGCGGGCGGUAACCUGUCAUGACCAUCUACACACUUCAUGCUUGGCCUAUAAUGUGAGAUGCUAGAGCGGAUUCUGGUGAUUUUUGCAUCCUCGUCAUGGUGAGCAGAGCUGCAGGGCUUCCCAAUGUGAUUACCCUAAAAUUGGCUCUGAAUCCUGUGUGAUUUGCUGGUGUGUUUGAAGUUGGCGGAAAAUUUAGGAAGCCUUUGAGUGGCUGUCUGAACUGAAUUUGACCCGUUUGUUUGUUCCAUCCUUCCAGUCUUUGGUCUGGCGUUCGGAUGGCGUUUGAUUAAAACUUCACAUUAGCCUUUGAUGAGAGCAGGCUUCUCCUUUGUAGCGCACGCUCCAUCUGGAGCACCGGCCACCAUACAGCUGCCAUCUUCAUUGUGACAUUCUCCCAUACCCUCGGUCCACUGUUAAAGGGAUAGUUCGGCCAAAAAAAAAAACAGUUGUCAGUAUAAUAGUUCUCAAAAUCCAUAUGUUUUCUUCUUUUAA